UAGCCUCUGCGCAAAAUCACUCGGCUCGUGCGUCGAUGAAGAACGCAGCUAGAUGCGAGAACUAAUGCAGGACACAUUGAUCAGACACUUCGAACACACCUUGUGGACCAAGGUUCCUCCUGGGGCUACGCCUGUCUGAGGGUCA
rnacentral:rRNA from 1 species